UUUUGGGUGCUAAUCCGUUCAGACAGGAGAUCACAUACAAGUCGCAUUUUAUUGUAAAUGUGAACGAACUUGCAAAAAAAUCGGAUUUCACAAAAAAAAUCCGAAUUGAGCUUUAAGCACUGCAGUCUGAACGUAGCCUUAGA